GGUCACAGUUUGCGGCAGGACGUCUGUCCUCAAAAUAACCGUGUCCACUGCGGAAGACUUGUCCGGGGAUGCGAACACUGACGUCACGCGCAGCUACAGCUGAAGAGAAUUCCUUGAAACUGGAGCCACCACGUGUUGCCAGGGUGAAAGGAGGACGGACAAGACAAGACAUAGGCCUUUUGGCAUUUAUGAAAGAGAGGAGUAUGGAUUUUGUGAACAAAUAAUCAGAACUUUUGUGCUGAAGUUGACGUGGCCGCCUGAGGGACAAAGGUGUCCACUGACAGGUUGUACGUCCAGGGUGGCAAUAACCUUAAACUCUUCACAGACACGAUGGAGAAUAUAACGAGCCAUCCACAGAUGGUCCCCCAUUU